AGGACUGGAUCUAGAACAGGGACUGUGGGAGGACCCGGGCACCAGGGGGUGUGAGCACCGUAGGCUGCCUUGUAGGCGCCCUCCUUGACUCCCUAGAUGUUCUCCCUAGAUUCGGGGAGCGGCCAUGUCCGCACUCACAGCCUGCCCAGCAUGUUUUAUUGACUCAGAGUGUCUCUGAUGGUGGGCGGGGCCAAUCAGACUUUGGACUGAUGGAAACUCAUGCUUUCGAGUGCUUCCAUUGGGACACAGGGUCCUGGUAGCCCUGAGGUGUCCGCCUCUCCACAGAGAAGUGGCAAGGCUGUUCGCAGAGAGGGGCGCGAGACAGACUCUGGAAUUCAUAGGGCCAUAGGAUGCUGAAUUCUAGAGAGAGUGGAGACACUCUAGGAAGCAGCCCUGGCCUGCUGCUGCCUGGGUACCACCGAGGUCUAACAGCUCUGCUCUGUCCCCACAGGGAGGGCCCCUUCGUCUCCACCUUCUCCCAUCCUUGUGUCAGCUAAUAUGAGUGGAUUUCUUUCUCGGCAGCUGAAGGGCCGUGGGAAACGGUCUUAUUCGUUCCCUUUCUACCCCGCUCGUUCUCUAGCAGCUGUUCUCGAAAAGGCCAGUGGCUGUUUGUCAGUCCCUCACUAUGUCCCAGGUUCCCCGUGGCUUUAUCUCAGGCAUGCAACAUAGUGGCCCAACGAAGAAGGGGCCGGGUGCCACCUUGUUCCUCAGAGACGGCAAAGUGAGGCUCAGAGAGGUUAAGGAGCAGGCCAGAGGCAGCUCAGCUUGUCUGCGCUUGUAGGCUGGUUGGGUCCAGAAGCCUGGGUCUUUUGUUCUGUUGGGUUCUGGAACUUCCACCACGCCCUCUGUCUAUUCUGAGGCUCACAGACACCCGCCACUGCUUCAGGGAUUGUUGCUCCUCCCCACGCGUGCCACUCACAAGUCCUGGGAAGACGUAGGUCAUGCCACAGGGAAGGAAAGCAGUCCAUCCUGGCCGCAACGGAGCCCCUGACAUUCCACCGCCCCAUCUCUGGUUAUGUCUCAUCUGUCUCUCUUUCCAACAAUGCCUUGCUCGUUGGGAGUACUCAAGUGUAUGUAUUUCCAGAAUGUUAUGCUUGGUAUCACAGCAAGAGACUAGUAAUUAGAGAAAGCGACAUCAAGAUAAACAUACAAAAGAAGCCACAUGAUAGAGAAAGACCGGAAGCCCUUCCCUACCUGGGCUUCAGACAGCACACAGAGCAUGUGCUAGAACAGCCUGUGCUGUACAAACACCACAGGGAGAGAAUUGGCCGGCACUGGGGGAAUUGAAAAUUAAGACGAAGACACUACCUCCAGCGGACUCCCUGGUGAAUAAUUCAUGUGGCCAGAGCCCACAGCAGCCUAGAGAAACAGAAACCCUCAGUGUCUGUCCUUCCUGCUCUGUCCACGUAUUUUCCUGACCCGUCAUAGAGAUGGAGCCCCGCCCUCUGGAGAAGGGGCAAAAGGAGGAUUCUGCUGGAGUUUUUGAUGCGAUCUUGUUGCUGCAUGACCUUUGAGGAAUUCAGCUCCUCCAUGAGCAGGAGCCCUGCUUGGCAUCACCUUGGCACUGCUGAAUCCUGUAGACCCAAGUGGUGGAAGAGACCCAGAGCAGCCAGCCAGGCCAGCUUGGCUGCACAGCUUUUGUAAGACAGCUCUUCCACUCUUGUUCACAUUUCUUCCCCUAGUGCACCUUCACUGCGGGCCUGCUCUGUGACCGUGACAGAGUCCCGAUGCCAGGGGACAUCUACAGCUCAGGGUGCCUCUACUGACGAGGAAUGCAAGCAGCAGACAUGGCAAGAGCCUCUGACUCCAGCCUCGGGGUGGCCGGCGAGGAUAUAUGGUGGACGGUGCUCCUGAACUGAACCCUGUCAGGGAGAGAUGGUGUUUUUGCUGUUUUCCGUUGCUGUAACAGAAUGCCCGAGACUGGGUGACUUACAGAGAAGAA